rnacentral:rRNA from 1 species
UACGGAGGGGACUAGCGUUGUUCGGAAUUACUGGGCGUAAAGCGCACGUAGGCGGAUUUGUAAGUCAGGGGUGAAAUCCCGGGGCUCAACCUCGGAACUGCCUUUGAUACUGCAAAUCUCGAGUCCGGAAGAGGUGAGUGGAAUUCCCGGUGUAGCGGUGAAAUGCGCAGAUAUCGGGAGGAACACCAAUGGCGAAGGCAGAUCUCUGGGCCGUAACUGACGCUGAGGAGCGAAAGCAUGGGGAGCGAACAGG